UUAACGGAGUGAGCGCUCCGUUAACCUCGUCUUUCUAAUCGUGUAUUGCUGUGCCGCAGCUCCACGCCAUGGCAACACAUGAGGAGACCCCCCCGCAGGAGACUGAAACAAGCCUCCCGGCCCUGAGGGUCUCUCCAGGAUGCCCCACAUGCUUGUGCCAUUGCCGACACACUCAGGGGGGAGGAAGGGGGAGGGAGUAUCCCCGAAAUGCACCACACAUUCACGUGGUGUAUUACUGAGGUUCUGGGAGGUGGGGCAUCAUGUGGCGGCGCUUCCCUGCGCCUGACCCCCAGAGCUGCUGGGCGAGGCAAGGCAAAGCACAGGAAGACUGCAGGACAGCCUCCACCCAGCAACGUCUUUCUGAUUGCCUGUGGGGAGUUCAUAUAGCUCACCUGGCUGGGAAGAGUGUAAACAUGGUGCAAGUGCAACACAUGCAUAUACCCUGCAUUCCCUGAAAGCAACAUGAUGUGAGAUGAUCCUUCUUCCUCAAAAAGAUACAUUCCAGCCAAGCUUAUAUUUCCACUACUUUGCAAGUACCCUGACCGCCCGAACCAUGUCUACACUAGCUUGCUGCUCUCGGAUGAGGAUCCAGCCUUCAUGUUUAACGCUGCCAAGUUCUGCGUGGCAGUUUGUAGGAAUUGCCGGGCUAUGACAACCAGGCCAUUCCCUUGCAUCGUCUCUGCAUAGUUUUAAACCAAUGACUUUUUUAGUUUUCCUAUGUAGAUGCCUUAUUUUAUACACCCUGUUUUAGCCACCACUUUUUGCAUUUUAUAUAUUUUGCAUUUUAUAUGUUCAUAAUUUUCUAAAUACAGCUGUUUAAUAAUCUCAUAGUUACCCUAUCUUCUAAGGAUAGCAGCUUUAUAAUAUUAUAAUAUAGCUUAUAGAGUAGUAACUUUAAAGUAAUAUUGUUUUAUGGUUCCAUAAUUUGUCUUUACUAUUUUGAAACAUGCUCUACUCUUCUAUUUUAUGCUGGUCUUGGACCGUAAUAAAGUUGAUUGAAGGUGAA